rnacentral:rRNA from 1 species
UUAUUUUAGCUUGCUAAGAUAGAUGGCGACCGGCGCACGGGUGCGUAACGCGUAUGCAACUUGCCUGUAAUUAGGGAAUAACCCGGUGAAAGUCGGACUAAUACCCUAUAUUCUUCUUUCUCCGCAUGGGGGAGGACGGAAAGAUUUAUUGAUUACAGAUGGGCAUGCGUCCCAUUAGCUGGUUGGUAAGGUAACGGCUUACCAAGGCAACGAUGGGUAGGGGGACUGAGAGGUUGACCCCCCACACUGGUACUGAGACACGGACCAGACUCCUACGGGAGGCAGCAGUGAGGAAUAUUGGUCAAUGGGCGAGAGCCUGAACCAGCCAAGUCGCGUGAAGGACGACGGUUCUAUGGAUUGUAAACUUCUUUUGUAGAGGAAUAAUGGCAGCUACGUGUAGCUGGGAUGCA